CAGCUGCCUAAAGAUGACAUCAUUCCUUAGUCCUCCAAGGAAAGUGGUGUGGAGAUUCAUCAAAGAGCUGGCAGUAACUGCUGAAUUCUCUGCUGUCCUACACAAAGAUUAAAGAUCCAUUAUUUCCUGGGAUUGUUUGUACGCGACCAAGUCGGAUGUGCAGUUGCCCUGUUAUGACUAACUAGAAAUGAAGGAACAAUAAAUUCACAAAAAAUCCAUCAGCAGCUGUGCCUAUAGUUCUGGUUCCCUGAGCACUGACCCUGCAGACCUGGCUAAAGCACACCUGAGCUCCUUUCCAGGGUAAGAGGUGACACAGGGAACAUUGAGCUUGAU